AACGAACGCUGGCGGCAGGCCUAACACAUGCAAGUCGAACGCCCUGGCAACAGGGAGUGGCAGACGGGUGAGUAACGCGUGGGAACGUGCCCCUCGGUUCGGAAUAACUCAGGGAAACUUGAGCUAAUACCGGAUACGUGCGAGAGCAGAAAGAUUUAUCGCCGAAGGAUCGGCCCACGUCCGAUUAGCUAGUUGGUGAGAUAACGGCUCACCAAGGCGACGAUCGGUAGCUGGUCUGAGAGGAUGAUCAGCCACACUGGGACUGAGACACGGCCCAGACUCCUACGGGAGGGAGCAGUGGGGAAUAUUGGACAAUGGGCGCAAGCCUGAUCCAGCCAUGCCGCGUGAGUGAUGAAGGCCCUAGGGUUGUAAAGCUCUUUCGCCAGGGACGAUAAUGACGGUACCUGGAUAAGAAGCCCCGGCUAACUUCGUGCCAGCCGCCGCCGUAA
rnacentral:rRNA from 1 species